CUCUGAAAUCCUUUGACCGUGGAAGCAUUGCUCAACAGAAGUGGAAGACUUGUUCAUUCCUGCUGCCAGCUUCCUCUCCCUGUCUGCAAGCAAGAGGUUAUCAGGGGUCAGCCGAAGAAUGGAAGGUGUGGCAGUACAUUGGGAGAUACCCCAAAUCCUGCAGAGUUGGAUUAAGAGACAGGAAAAGGAUGGGACUUUUGUCUAAAUGCCAGGUAUAGACAGACAUACCCCAGAGUUGUGGCACCCAUUAAUAGCUCAAGCAAGCCCAGGCAGCUGUGUUUUGAUCAGUGGAAAGGUUUCCUGGCACCCAAGAACUGAAAUCACCUUUUGG